CGGCAAAUAAGUUUUUUUUGGGCCUUUCUCCUCCUUUCACCCUCUAUCUUCAAUAAAGAACCAAUUUUUAUGAUAAAAGAAUCAAUUUUUACAGUAAAGAACCAAUUUUUAUUGGUUUAAGAAGAGGUGAGGGGUGAGAAGAGAAGGGUAAAGAACCAUAAAAUCUAAGUGGGGUGUUGUUUUUUUGUAAGUUCUUGUUCUGCAAAUUUCUCUCUAUAAUGGCUUGCAGUGUUGCAGACUCUGGUUUCCUGGUCUUGGCUUCCAAGAAAGGACCAGUUCAUAGCACUAGAAUUGGGCAAAUUGCUUCUUCAGGAGCAUGUUGUUUAAAGUGGGAAAGUCUACCUCAGAUAAG
rnacentral:misc_RNA from 1 species